CCUACGGGAGGCAGCAGUGGGGAAUAUUGCACAAUGGGGGAAACCCUGAUGCAGCAACGCCGCGUGAGUGAAGAAGGUGUUCGGAUUGUAAAGCUCUGUUAGCAGGGAAGAGGAAGGACGGUAGCGGCAGAGAAAGCCACGGCUAACUAAGUGCCAGCAGCCGAGGUACUACGUAGGUGGCGAGCGUUGUUCGGAAUAACGUGGCGUAAAGGGUGAGUAGGCGGUUAAACAAGUUAUAUGUUAAAUAUAUAGGCUUAACCUGUAGAAAGCAUUUAAAACUGUUUAACUAGAGUGCAGGAGAGGUAAGUGGAAUUCCUAGUGUAGCGGUGAAAUGCUUAGAUAUCACGAAGAACCCCGAUUGCGAAGGCAGCCUGCCGCAGCGUUACUGACGCUGAAGCUCGAAAGCGCGGGUAUCGAACAGGAUUAGAUACCCGGGUAGUC
rnacentral:rRNA from 1 species